rnacentral:rRNA from 1 species
GAUGAACGCUGGCGGCGUGCCUAACACAUGCAAGUCGAGCGAUCUUCUUCGGAAGAGAGCGGGCGGACGGGUGAGUAACGCGUGGGUAACCUGCCCUGUACACACGGAUAACAUACCGAAAGGUAUGCUAAUACGAGAUAAUAUACUUUUAUCGCAUGGUAGAAGUAUCAAAGCUUUUGCGGUACAGGAUGGACCCGCGUCUGAUUAGCUAGUUGGUAAGGUAACGGCUUACCAAGGCGACGAUCAGUAGCCGACCUGAGAGGGUGAUCGGCCACAUUGGAACUGAGACACGGUCCAAACUCCUACGGGAGGCAGCAGUGGGAAUAUUGCACAAUGGGCGAAAGCCUGAUGCAGCAACGCCGCGUGAGCGAUGAAGGCCUUCGGGUCGUAAAGCUCUGCCUCAAGAAGAUAAUGACGGUACUUGAGGAGGAAGCCCCGGCUAACUACGUGCCAGCAGCCGCGGUAA